UACGUAGGUGGCGAGCGUUAUCCGGAUUUAUUGGGCGUAAAGCGUGCGCAGGCGGUUUAUUAAGUCUAAGAUUAAAGCCCGGAGCUUAACUCCGGUUCGUCUUAGAAACUGGUAGACUUGAGUAUGGUAGAGGCAAAUGGAAUUCCUAGUGUAGCGGUGGAAUGCGUAGAUAUUAGGAGGAACACCAGUGGCGAAGGCGAUUUGCUGGGCCAUUACUGACGCUCAUGCACGAAAGCGUGGGGAGCAGAUAGG
rnacentral:rRNA from 1 species